AGUGAACGCUGGCGGUAGGCCUAACACAUGCCAGUCGAACGGCAGCACAGUAAGAGCUUGCUCUUACGGGUGGCGAGUGGCGGACGGGUGAGGAAUACAUCGGAAUCUACUUUUUCGUGGGGGAUAACGUAGGGAAACUUACGCUAAUACCGCAUACGACCUACGGGUGAAAGCAGGGGAUCUUCGGACCUUGCGCGAUUGAAUGAGCCGAUGUCGGAUUAGCUAGUUGGGGGGGUAAAGGCCCACCAAGGCGACGAUCCGUAGCUGGUAUGAGAGGAUGGUCAGCCACACUGGAACGGAGACACGGUCCAGACUACUACGGGAGGCAGCAGUGGGGAAUAUUGGACAAUGGGCGCAAGCCUGAUCCAGCCAUACCGCGUGGGUGAAGAAGGCCUUCGGGUUGUAAAGCCCUUUUGUUGGGAAAGAAAAGCAGCAGGUUAAUACCCCGCUGUUCUGACGGUACCCAAAGAAUAAGCACCGGCUAACUUCGUG
rnacentral:rRNA from 1 species